AGGGAUGCGGCGGUGACCUGUGGCGACGCGGCUGGAUACACCCCCCCGCCUGGGUCUGAUCUUUGGACUAGAAGUGGGUAAAGGUGAUGCACCUCCCAGCCGCCUGGAGCCCAGCUGGGGGAUUUCCCGAGCCUGACGGAUUUACAGGGAGAUUCGGCUGCCCAGGGAGAGUGCUGACCGGCUCUCCGUGGGAGCAUGUGGCCAGUGAUCCUUAGGCAGGAUCUGCUGUGGACUGCUGCAGCCUGGAGACCCAAGGGGACAGAGGACUGAGCUUCGCAAAGGGCAGAGAUGGCCAUCCUGGUCUUGGAGAGCAAUGCCUGCUUGGCCAUUGGCCACCUGGGGAAACAUCCAGUCUAGUUCAAAGGAAGGACUGCCUGCCUCUACCUCCCCCCAGUGAAGGUCCCGCGGCGCCCCUGCUGAUGGGCACAGGUUCUUAGACAAUUGCUCAUGAGUUCUCGCCCUCUGGACUCAGAGAGAGCUGAGCUGGUGGGACACAUACUCAGGCUUCACUGCAGAAGCUGUGCAAAAUGACUGGGCCAGUUUACACAGCCAGGGCUCUGCCCAGGGCUCUGUGUACCCUCAUCCUUGUGGGCUGGGCAACUCAGCCAUGCCAGCACUGUCCUAGCCUCUCUGGGCUUCUCCUUCAUGCUACCAAUGUCACUCACCCACCAACACACUCCGAGCUAUUCAUUCUUCUCUGUGACAAGGAGGUUGUCCCUCUGAAGUCCCAAUGGAGGUCUCCUAUGUCUCCGUGGCCAGAGCUGGGCCAGGGAUCCUCUCAACCAAUCCCUGACCAAGAUCCUAGGUCACCUGACUGUGUUCCUCCUGCCCCUGGCAGCACUGGCUGGCUGCCUAGUACUGCUUUAGAACUUGGACUGUCUUUAUCCUGAAGAAGAGAGCCAUGAUUGAUGUGCUAGCCGGCAACCCAGCGGAGACACACAGUACAGUUGAUUCCAACUCAGCGACCCUGCACAGCAGAGUAGAACCGCUCUGUUAGAGGGGCUGAAGCUGCCAUCCUGGUGGGAAUUGGCUGCCACAUCUUUCUCCCUCUGAGUGGCUGAUGGAUUCAAGCCGCUGACCUUUUGGUUAGCAGCCAGUUCAGGGCUCCUUUAAGACUCAUGCACCAGUGUUUAACUAUGCCUGCGUUUUUGAGUGCGCGCUGCUACUCCUGUGAAUGUCCAAGGGGUGGUCUUCAAAUCCCUGUCGUUAACCAUUGGCUGAGAGUACCAGACGCAUAAGUCAGCCAGCUCAUGCCCAAGGUCUUAGGGAUUAGCCCUGCCCCUCUCAGAGUGGAAGCCUGGCCGUCCUCUUGCUAGGUCAGACCUGUACCCCACCCCAGCCGCCCAGUUUCUGUUUCCCGGGGGAUCCCUGAGAGAGGGCUUUCUAGCUCUACAGGCCAGAGCGAGUAUGGAAGGCUUGCCUUGAGAGCAGGGACCCAGGUAGGGUGCCAGCUGAGGACAGGUGGAAUGAACCCCUGCCGGGAAGGUACUGCUUCCCCUUCCCACCAGCCACACAGAGACCACAGUUACCCUGUGCUCUGGGCUAACGCAGGAAAGUGUCCUGAAUGACACUUUAUACACCCCACCACCUGACUGUCGUACUGUGGUGGCUUGCAGGUCGCUAUGAUGAUGGCACCUGUGUUACAUGUGUUUUAGACACCAGGAGGUUCGCCCAUGGCGGACAGGUUUCAGCGGAGCUUCCAGACUAAGACAGACUAUGAAGAAGAACCUGGAGAUCCAACUCACAGAAAGUCACCCAAUGAGAACCUUGAGAUCAUAGGAGGAUACUGUCCGAUGGGGUGUGGGCAGUGAGCCCCUUGCGUGAGAGAGUACCCACACCAGGCCUGGGAAGGGUUUGCAGAGAGCUAUGGAUGACCGUGGAAACCCCAAGUCCAUUUGCAGAGACCCCACGCAUGUUAAGCCUCCAUUGAAUCCCCUUGGACCAUUGACCAGACAGAAGGAUUACUGCAGAUCGAGUCGCGUCAACUGUUAACCUCUGACCCUUUGUUUCCCUUUUCAGCCCGUUCUUGAUCAGCUCUAGUGCUUAUGGUUUUUCUGCUUUCUUUUGGAUUAUUCUGUCUUUUGUUUUGUUAUCGCAGUUGGCUUUCUUUUUGUUUGGGUAUGAUUUUUUUUAAUACAAAAUCCAGGAUCUGUAAAUCAAUAGAAACAGUAACUAGAUGAACAGCUUUGCCAUGUUAUGGCAGGGGAAAUUAGAGGAAACAAGGAACCAAUUAAUAAUGACAAGAAUGAAGAAAAUGUUCUGUAAUCGACUGUGGUGACGAUGGCACGGCACUCUUGAAACACAUUUGAGCUAUUUCAUUGUAUGAUAAAUGACUUACAUGUCAAUAAAACUUUAAAAAAGAAAAGAAAGACUUAACAACCAUAUAAACUUAAAAGACUGGAGAGGAGCUGCCUCCACAAAGCAUGACGUCCUGAGGAGGGACUGAUACCCACUGAAGGACAUCAUGCUUGCUCAAAUUGGGGUGGGGUGGGGGCUGAAGAAAGAGACAAGGCUCCUCAAUGAGUUGAGUUGGCACAACAUUGCCUUCUGCUAAACACAGGAACCGGGCAACGCGGUAUACUGUCAUACACAUGGUGAGUCAGCCAACAGGCAGCAGCCACAGCAUCCAACCUCUUACUCAGAGGAAAUGGAUAACUUUCUUUAUGGCAGGUGGCCCACUGUACAUUUUACUUCUGUAAUCUCACUCUGCCCACUGGACCGUCCUGUGAGGUGAGAAGGCCUUAACUAAGGGAGCACUUCUGUAUCAGUGGUUAAAGCACAGGCUCAAAUCCAACUUCCCGGAACCCCGGGUCCAACCUCUGCUGACUCUGUGGUCCUGGGCGAGUGAUGUCACCUUUCUGUGUUGCAGCUGUUUGGACACAGGAGAUAAUGACCGGAUGUUCAGGCGGCUCAGUGCGUGAUCAAGUGCUGAGAAUGACCCUGGCAUAGAGGAUGUGCCUGAGUCCCCAUGCUCCCUGAGAUGCUGGCUAGAAGUUCCACCGACGGGGUCUCAUUUGAUGGGCUUGGCCCCUUUAUUAGUCUGGGUACUUUGGAGAAACAAAUCCACAGCAACUCAUGUAUAAGAGAGCGUUUUAUGUAAAGAAAA